rnacentral:rRNA from 1 species
CCUACGGGGGGCAGCAGUGAGGAAUAUUGGUCAAUGGACGAGAGUCUGAACCAGCCAAGUAGCGUGAAGGAUGACUGCCCUAUGGGUUGUAAACUUCUUUUAUAUGGGAAUAAAACGUUCCACGUGUGGGAUUUUGUAUGUACCAUAUGAAUAAGGAUCGGCUAACUCCGUGCCAGCAGCCGCGGUAAUACGGAGGAUCCGAGCGUUAUCCGGAUUUAUUGGGUUUAAAGGGAGCGUAGGUGGAUUGUUAAGUCAGUUGUGAAAGUUUGCGGCUCAACCGUAAAAUUGCAAUUGAUACUGGCAGUCUUGAGUACAGUUGAGGUAGGCGGAAUUCGUGGUGUAGCGGUGAAAUGCUUAGAUAUCACGAAGAACCCAGAUUGCGAAGGCAGCUUACUAAACUAUAACUGACACUGAAGCACGAAAGCGUGGGGAUCAAACAGGAUUAGAUACCCGUGUAGUC